rnacentral:rRNA from 1 species
AGUGAACGCUGGCGGCAGGCCUAACACAUGCAAGUCGAGCGGAUGAAGGGAGCUUGCUCCUGGAUUCAGCGGCGGACGGGUGAGUAAUGCCUAGGAAUCUGCCUGGUAGUGGGGGAUAACGUCCGGAAACGGGCGCUAAUACCGCAUACGUCCUGAGGGAGAAAGUGGGGGAUCUUCGGACCUCACGCUAUCAGAUGAGCCUAGGUCGGAUUAGCUAGUUGGUGGGGUAAAGGCCUACCAAGGCGACGAUCCGUAACUGGUCUGAGAGGAUGAUCAGUCACACUGGAACUGAGACACGGUCCAGACUCCUACGGGAGGCAGCAGUGGGGAAUAUUGGACGAUGGGCGAAAGCCUGAUCCAGCCAUGCCGCGUGUGUGAAGAAGGUCUUCGGAUUGUAAAGCACUUUAAGUUGGGAGGAAGGUCAGUAAGUUAAUACCUUGCUGUUUUGACGUUACCAACAGAAUAAGCACCGGCUAACUUCGUG